rnacentral:rRNA from 1 species
AUGAGUGGCCCGAGGCAAGGCUCAUCGCAGCCGCAGUUCAUGACUAGUGUCGGGCAGAACAACAAUCUCUCGAAUGGACCGGGGACUCCUCUCAUUGACAGCAUAGAUGUUGAUCAGAUUGUCAUCCCCGAGAAAAAUAGCUGGAAGAACUUAUUUUCAUACAUAGGGCCCGGCUUUCUCGUCUCUAUCGCGUAUAUCGAUCCUGGCAAUUUUGAGACCGACCUACAGGCUGGAGCACAAUACAAAUAUGAGCUUCUUUGGAUCAUACUUAUCGCGUCAUGUGCUGCACUUGUAAUUCAAUCACUUGCAGCCAGCCUUGGGGUUGUGACUGGGAAGCAUCUUGCUGAGCACUGCAGGGAUGAAUAUCCCAAGGUCACAAAUUUCAUCUUAUGGAUUCUUGCAGAACUGGCUGUAGUUGCGUGCGACAUUCCUGAAGUAAUUGGAACCGCUUUUGCUUUGAACAUGCUCUUCAAAAUUCCGAUAUGGUGUGGUGUUCUCAUAACUGGGCUCAGCACUCUGAUGCUCCUGUUCCUGCAACAAUAUGGGGUCCGUAAACUGGAAUUUCUGAUAGCAUUUUUGGUAUUCUUGAUAGCAACUUGCUUCUUAGUUGAACUUGGGUAUUCUAAACCAAAUUCUUCAGAAGUUGUGCGAGGCCUUUUUGUUCCUGAAAUUAAAGGAGAUGGAGCUACAGGUCUUGCUAUCUCACUACUUGGUGCUAUGGUGAUGCCGCACAAUCUUUUUCUCCACUCAGCAUUGGUACUGUCAAGAAAAGUACCACGAUCAGUUCAUGGGAUCAAAGAGGCCUGUAGAUUCUAUAUGAUUGAAAGUGCAUUUGCCCUCACAGUAGCAUUUCUGAUCAACAUCUCUAUCAUAUCUGUUAGUGGUGCAGUUUGCAGUGCAGAUAAUUUGAACCCUGAAGACCGGAUGAAUUGCAAUGAUCUAGAUCUUAACAAAGCUUCAUUCUUGUUAAAGAAUGUCCUCGGAAAUUGGAGCUCAAAGGUGUUCGCUAUUGCCUUAUUGGCAUCUGGCCAGAGUUCUACGAUUACAGGAACUUAUGCAGGACAAUAUGUCAUGCAGGGGUUUCUGGAUCUUCGGAUGACGCCCUGGUUACGGAACCUUCUAACUAGGUCCCUGGCAAUUGUGCCUAGUCUGAUUGUGUCACUAAUUGGCGGUUCCUCAGCAGCUGGGAAGUUGAUUAUCAUUGCUUCGAUGAUUCUGUCAUUUGAACUUCCUUUUGCUCUAGUACCACUCCUUAAAUUCACCAGCAGCAAAACAAAGAUGGGGCCACACACAAAUUCAAGAUUCAUCUCCGUGCUCACAUGGGCGAUCGGCUCCUUCAUCAUGGUCAUCAACAUCUACUUCCUGAUAACGAGCUUCGUCAGGCUGCUUCUUCACAGUGUACUAUCCACCGUCUCCCAAGUGUUCUCCGGUAUAUUUGGGUUCCUCGGCAUGCUGAUAUACAUCGCCGCGAUCCUCUACCUCGUCUUCAGGAAGAACAGGAAGUGUACCUUGCCAUUGCUCGAGAGUGACGCGAAGCUUGGGGACGCAGGCCACACCGAGGGAGAAGGUUCUCUGGGUCAUCUUCCGCGAGAGGAUAUCUCCAGCAUGCAGCUUCCUCAUCAGCGCCCUGCGUCUGAUUUGGACUAG